GGUUGCUAUAAAUACAAGUCGAUGCGAGCCAUUCGAAAAAAAAAAACUGUAAAUUCAACGGCACGUACUGCGAAAAGCGGAAAAUCGCGAAACACUGAAAUAAAGAGAAGCACCGCAACUGCAACUGCUAUUUGAGGCACAAUCGCGAUAAGGCAAUCUAGUUGAAAGUGGAGAUUGGCAGUGGAGAUUCGCGAAAAUAGAGAACUGUGGCCAACAACACACAUUCUUUUGCAGUCGUCGCUUUCAUCGCGUGUUCCGCUGUGGGCUGUGAGCUCUCUGUGUGUGUGUGUGUGCGCCAAGUGUGUGUUUGUGAAAGAGACACAGAGAGAGAGAGAGUGGCAAAGGGAGUGUGCAAAUAACUUUUGCCGCGUUGCCAUUAUUGAGAUCUUCGGCGAAUUUUGAACCAAAGAAGAGGGUGCGAGAGAAGAGGAUCGUCGGGUGAAUGUCGCUGAAACACCAGAAACCCUCCUACCAACCGCUCCCCACAGCGGCAGCCAUGGAUAAUCCUGCGAUGGUCGAGAGCAGCAGCAGCGGCAGCAGCAACGGCAGCAGUCGGGAGGAUGUGGCCAACCAGGCCAAUCUGUCACCCAUUGGAUUGCCUCAGACAUACUCGUCACAGCAGCUUAUGCCCUCAGAUUCGGACAGUAUGGAAGAGGAGCGGCAGCGCCUGCGACCCAACCAGUACGGUGGUGACCCCAACAUACCGGGACUCCAAUCAGCCGUUCCCACGCGCUUCGCCGCCGUUGGGCGGUCACAGUGGUUCACGGUCACGGUGCUCUGCUUUGUCAACCUCAUCAACUACAUGGAUCGCUUCACGAUCGCCGGAGUCCUGCCAGACGUAUCUAAAGAUUUCAAUAUCGGAAAUGACAGUGCCGGCCUCUUGCAAACCGUGUUCGUUAUCUCGUACAUGGUGUGCGCCCCGAUCUUUGGAUAUUUGGGUGACCGCUAUUCCCGCCCCUGGAUUAUGGCUGUCGGGGUGGGGCUAUGGAGCACCACCACGCUGUUGGGAUCAUACAUGCAGCACUUUGGUUGGUUCAUCACCUUCCGGGCACUGGUGGGAAUCGGCGAGGCCUCGUACAGUACGAUCGCGCCGACGAUCAUCUCGGAUCUGUUCAUCCACGACAUGCGCUCCAGGAUGCUAGCCCUCUUCUAUUUUGCCAUUCCCGUGGGAUCCGGUCUGGGAUAUAUCGUGGGAUCGAAAACCGCUCACCUGGCCAACAACUGGCGCUGGGCACUGAGGGUCACACCCAUCUUGGGCGUUGUGGCCGUAUUGCUAAUUAUGCUUAUCAAGGAUCCGGAGCGGGGUCAAAGCGAAGGAUCGCACCAUCUGGAGGCCACUACCUACAAGCAGGAUAUUAAGGCUCUGCUCAAGAACCGCUCCUUCAUGCUCUCCACGGGAGGAUUCACGUGCGUUGCGUUUGUGGCCGGAGCAUUGGCCUGGUGGGGACCUUCAUUCAUCUAUCUAGGCCUCAAGAUGCAGCCCGGCAACGAGAACCUCGUUCAGGACGACAUAUCGUACAAGUUCGGUAUUGUGGCCAUGUUGGCGGGCCUUAUCGGAGUGCCGAUGGGUUCCAUCUUGGCUCAGCGCCUGCGAGGACACUACGAGAACUGUGAUCCGUACAUCUGUGCGGGAGGACUCUUCGUAUCGGCACCCAUGGUGUUUGCUGCUCUCAUGGUGCCCCAGUCGAGCCCGGAGAUGCUGUGCUUUUUCUUCGUCUUCGUGGCCCAGGUGGCGCUCAACCUGUGCUGGUCCAUUGUGGCCGAUAUCCUGCUGUAUGUGGUAGUUCCGACGCGUCGCUCCACAGCUGAAGCCUUUCAGAUUCUUAUCUCGCAUGCGCUUGGCGAUGCCGGCAGUCCUUAUUUGGUAGGAGCGAUAUCAGAGGCCAUUAUGAAGCAUCUGCAUAAGAAUCCCAGCGAUUCCGGACUGAUGGAAAUGCAGAGUAUGUCCCAAGUGGCGGAGAAUGCCACGGCUGUGAUCAGUACAACCGCUACCGGUAUCAUCGAUUCCAUGAAAGCUGCAGCCGAUUACACGGAUGCUGAGAAAUUUGAGGGACUGCAGUAUGCCUUGUUCUCCACCAGUUUCGUGGAGGUCUUGGGAGGCAUUUUCUUCAUGAUCACGGCCUGCUUCAUCAUCAAGGACAAGUUCGAAGCCUCGCGAGGAUCUCAAGGCAACCAGGAAGCACAAAUGCGAUCGUCAAGUGCCCCGGGCAGCGGGGGGCAGAAAGACGUAGAGUCCUUCAACUCGGACUGCCUGGUCAUGUGCACUGACAUUGCUCUGGGCGAUCGCUCGUACACACGAAUCUGAAAAACAGAUAACUUAAAACUGAAAACUGAAUAUCCUUUUGGCACCCAGUUCCCGAGGCAUCCACGGCUCAACAGCAGCAGCGGGCAAUUGCAUAAUACCAGCCGAUCCUAGAAGUUAUGCUGCGCACUCAGAGCUAUGACGGCGCGCUGGGUGAACUGAUACUGACUGAAAACCAUCUUUAAUUUUAAUAACCGCUCACUCGCACUCACCGCACAUACCGCGCUCACAUCGGCUAGAAGAUAAUUAACCCUCGUUCAUGUUCCUAUUGGGAAGAAUCGGAAGGACAGCCGCCACCAGCACCACACAGAUUUGUAGAUAUACUACACCCACUCACAAGCACGCACCAAGUCAUAACAUUAAAGAGAUCAUUUACCUUUUACUUGUAAACGGAUUGGGGCUGGUGGCCAGGACGAACGCCCGGACACCAGCACUAGCUCGUAAUUAGCUUUAGUUCUGGUAUUUUAGGUUUCAUUAGAAAUUAGGCAGAGUGCUCCCUCAGAUCCGGUAAUGUAAAUAGAUAUUAUUUCAGGCAUCGAGGGCGAAAACUGCCUGACAUUGGUGUAAUUAUAUUUAUAUAUGUAUAAAUACAUAUGAAUUUUAAAUAUGAAUUGUAAAUAUAGAUAAGCACCGGCCAUUGUAUAAGUGCGUAGUCUGUAUAAUCAAUCUAGUAGCUUUUACUAUAUGUAUAAGUGCGUAGUCUGUAUAAUCAAUCCCGUAGUUUUUACUAUACGUAACUGUAAUCCUAUUCUUAGUUAGUUAGUCGAGUAACAAAUUGGAUGAAACCGUGUGUGUGCACCCUCAGCUAUUACUGAAUAUUACUAUUAUCUUUAAACAAAUCUGCAAAACAGCAUUAAUCAAUCCUAGAGUUUGUGUUUUUUCUGUUAAUCCCAAUCGAAUGCUAUCGAAAAAAAGAAGAAAGACUGCAAACAAUCAAAAAUUUGGUAAAUUAACAAUUAACCAAGCGAAAAUAACGAUGUGUUUAGCAAUUAACUAAUUCUGGGGCAAUAAAUUUAUACAUGCAAAGUAAACAAUUAUAUGAAAGUCGAA